CGGAGCUAACGCGUUAAGUCGACCGCCUGGGGAGUACGGCCGCAAGGUUAAAACUCAAAUGAAUUGACGGGGGCCCGCACAAGCGGUGGAGCAUGUGGUUUAAUUCGAUGCAACGCGAAGAACCUUACCUACUCUUGACAUCCACGGAAUUCGGCAGAGAUGCCUUAGUGCCUUCGGGAACCGUGAGACAGGUGCUGCAUGGCUGUCGUCAGCUCGUGUUGUGAAAUGUUGGGUUAAGUCCCGCAACGAGCGCAACCCUUAUCCUUUGUUGCCAGCGAUUCGGUCGGGAACUCAAAGGAGACUGCCGGUGAUAAACCGGAGGAAGGUGGGGAUGACGUCAAGUCAUCAUGGCCCUUACGAGUAGGGCUACACACGUGCUACAAUGGCGCAUACAAAGAGAAGCGACCUCGCGAGAGCAAGCGGACCUCACAAAGUGCGUCGUAGUCCGGAUCGGAGUCUGCAACUCGACUCCGUGAAGUCGGAAUCGCUAGUAAUCGUGGAUCAGAAUGCCACGGUGAAUACGUUCCCGGGCCUUGUACACACCGCCCGUCACACCAUGGGAGUGGGUUGCAAAAGAAGUAGGUAGCUUAACCUUCGGG
rnacentral:rRNA from 1 species